CCCGCCAAGCUGAGACUUCUAAGCAGCAUCUUCAGGGAGAUCUCAUUCUGUGCACUCCCUGUACCCUACACAUAACAGAGAUUAGGCAAGCUGUGAGGCAAACUUCUGUCUGCUCCUACGGUUCAGUUUAAAUUGUAAUGUGCUCCGCUGACAGUCCUCAGCAUUUAUAGUGUGAAAUCGAGCUAAUUCUCUAGUUUUUAGCCUAAUCCGGGAAAGUUAGCACUUAGUAUGUGAAAUUUUGCCUUGUUAACAAGUUAGAAGGAACAGCGAUUGAGCCAACUUCAGACUGUUAGGUUAAUCUUUACCAGUCCACCCUUGGACUGUGUCCCAGGAAUAGGGGGGGAUUAAGAAGAGAUACAAACAUUUGUUUCCAUAUAUGAUGUCACAUCCUGGAGGCCAAGAAUCCCCGCUUUUCGAUCACAGUUGCACCAGCCCUGCUGCGGCCCCAUCUGCAGCCAGCCGCUGAGAUCUAGGCAGGCAGGUUUGCCACAAGACCGUCGCUGCCGCCACUGGCCAUCUCCAACUUGCGGAGAUAGGGCCCGGCGAAGCGGGAAGGUCACGUAAGCGCCCUGGACCGGCACCACCGAGAGGAAACCUCCGGGCUUCCUAGAGCGGACGGUGGGCUCCCGCCGUCCUUCCGCCUCGGCGCUGGCUGGGGGAGCCCGCUCUCCGGCGGGAGAGUGGACCGUUGCGUUAACCGUCCGCCGGGGUGAUCCCGGCCUCGGAGGCGAGGUGGCUCGGCGCAUUCGUUGUCUUGGCUGGCUUGAGAGCCUUGAUCUGGAAGAGCCUGGCCGAAGAGGCCCGCGCCCCUGCCCGCGGUGGCGGGUUCGUUCGUCUUCCUCCGAAGGGCUUUCUGUGCCCGCCUUCUUCGUUGGCGGCUGGAGAUGGCGUCGCCUGCUUCCCGCCGCUCCGAGCGGGCGUGCGCCCGGCAUCACCCACCGGUCCACUUGAGCAUCUCUUUUUCCUGUUUUGACCCGCUGCCAAGCCUCCACCAGCAUUUUGUGCUGUAGCCCCUCUCGGUCCAGGCGCCCCCUUUCUCUCCAGAGGAGACCUCUCUUGGUCAUCGUGUCAAAGUGUCCAGGGUGAACUGAACUCAGCUUCGACUUGUACAGAGAGAGCAGUGCAGGAAACCAGGGGACGGCAGCCAUGCUUCAGACAGCGUGGUCCCAGGUGAGACGGCUUCCUGACAGCUUUUCUUAGAUCAGCUCUCAGAGAAGUCUAUGCCAGACUCGGGCCUGACUUGGGUUCCCCUUUGCCAGGCAGCUGUGGAUGUGUGUCUGUGCGGGUGAGGGUGUGUUUGGGGAAAAGUGUUUUGAGGUGAGAUGAGAUUAUCCCCAGUGGGAGAUACCUUUGUCUACAGAGAGGACAUGAUUUUCAGAAGAUCCAUUUAAUUGCAUGAGUUGGAAGCACUGCCAGUAAAAUUUCCUGGGAGCUACAAAUCCACAUCAGUUUCUACAGAUGAAGUCUACCAAGAGGCAGGUCUCCUGUGCCAGUAGUUUGCAACUGUCCUUGGAGGCCAUGGAACUUAGAAGAAUUUGGAAGACACCCUGGGGAUGCUAGAUGAGUAGAGCAUGAAUCUAGGAGGGGUAGGAGGAGGACUGCAAAACCAAUGACAUUAGGCAGUUCCGACAAUUAUUGGGGAAGUAAAGGAGGACUGAGUAGUGCAUCAGAGGCUGUGGGGUGUGGAGCCAGAGAAUUCCGUGUCAUGUUUCCAUGGUGUUUAAAAUGCUUCCCUGCUCCCAGGAGAAACUGCACGGGUAUUGGUUAAUGGGCUUUUCUAGCUGUGUGGCCUCGGAUUACUUCUAAACCUCUUUGGCUUCAGUUUCCUCAGUUGUAAAAUGAGGAACGUAACAGUACCAAUCUCAGAAGUGAAAAUGAAAAGCGAUGAUGCUUAUAAAGCCGUAGCACAGUUUCUAGCACCUAUUAAGCUCCCAUAAAUCUUAGCUAUUAUAUAAAGACCAUUUAAGUGACUAGUGCAAGGAAGUUUAAUUAAUGAAUAUGAAUUGAUUGCAACAAAGUAAUACAUUUGUUUAAUGUAUUUAAAAAAUAUUAGUUCUUCCUUUUGGAUUGCGGUUACUGUCUAGAUGAUUCUAUUUGGUUUCAAUAUCUAUUUAUAUGUGUAGUUACAAAAGAGAGCUGGGCUGGAGCAAUGUGCAGCAGAUGCCUAAGUGCAGGAGACUGGUUACACGUGUCACAUCUCAGGACCUGAAGGGCAGUGUGCGAAGCAGAGACGCCUGCCAUGCUCCAGAUCACCUGGCGCCCAGUGAGCGAGCAUCCUUUCAGCCUCUGUGGCUCCCCUUCCCUGCCCUCUCACCCUUUUGAUGUCAAGAGAGCAGGUGUCAGCUCUGCAUCCAGAUCCAGGUCCAGGCCUGUGGCUUCCGUUGUGCAUCUGUCAUUGUCGGGUGUGUUUGGGGAAGGGGAGGAGUUAAGGGGAGUGGAGAAAUGAGAAUUCCCAAACUAAGACAUAAUCAAGAUGGAAAAAACAAGUGAGUGUGGGGGAUUGAUUGGGAUAGAUUUGGCAGUUUGGGCUGAAAAAUGGAAAUGCACUAAAAAGUGGAAAUCUGCAUCACAGCAUACAAGGAAGACCCUUUUCACUUCUGUCCACAAGAUUGAAAAAGUCUUUGCUUGGAUAAAGCACUUCUAGUAGUGUUUUUGUAGAAUCCCAGGGCUCACCUCUCUGCUUCCCAUCUCUCAGGAAUUGGUAUCCUUCAUUGCCUCAUACCCAGUAUCUUGAAAACCAUUGUUUUAUGUAACUUGUCUUAUUUUGGUUCAGGCAGGAGGAUAAAUCUGUUCCCUUUGACUCCAUCUAGAUAAGAAGUGCAAGUUUUUCCUCAGCAUUUAAAAAACAUGACUCCUUUUACUUUGCCAUCUCGACUCCCAAGUCUUCAUGUGUGUGUUGUUUUCCUUCUCUGAAAGCCUUUAGGAUCUUUUUUUAAGUCUCUUUUUCUGAGGCUUCUCAGUGAUGUGCUUUUGUGUAGGUAUUUUUCAUUCAUUCCCUAUAUACUCUGGGGGUCCUCUCUCCUCCCUGGUGCUUUGAAACAGAAUGUGUUACCAAGUUAUAAAUCAACUAUACUUCAAUCAGAAAACAAAAAAAAAAAACCCAAAACAAAAAACAAACUUCCUUUUAAAUAAAUAAAAACUCAAAGAAAAAAGAGUAUUUUACCAAGUUACAAAAAAGCAGUUCACACUUUAAAAAUAUCCAGAGCUCAUCCUUUGUUCUGUGGUGUGAAUCAGGCUCUUUUUUGUUUGCUUCCUCCUGCACCAGCAGUUAAGAUUCAGCUUUCCCUUCUCUUCUGUGUCAGUUACCAUUUAUCCUUUCUCUGCCUUUCAAAAUUCUGUUAAUACCUCUAGUCUGAUUUGACUCUUCUCCUGUUGGGCCUUUGUGUUCCAGUGACCUUAGCGGGAUUAGGGAGGGAGUAGAGAUCAGUACAAAAGUUCUGUGGGCUGUGUUUAUACAGAUUUCCCCUGUGCAUGUUCACACAAAACCCACGUAGGGGAGAGGAGCCAGAGGGACCCAUAGGCACACGGAGCAGGACACAGUAGAGUCGACACAGAGAUCAGCAGGUGAAGGAAGGGCUGUUCGCUGGGGAUGACCACAAGGGAUGCAGUGAGUCUAGGGCUCCCCUACUGAUGAGGGCAAUGCUGGCUGAGGGCUGGCCCCUGCAGAGAGGGGUGUAGGGGGCUUGAGCGCUGGACAGCUGUCCUCGGCAAUAACACCAGCCCCAGUGAGUCUCUCCCUUUACUUAGGCUCCUCUGCCCUCACACAGGGCUGGAGCAAGAACC